AAGCCAAUAGCAUUUGAUUGCUACUCUGGUCACUUUGUGAACUACCUGUCUCUCCCUACAGGUUAACUGUAAUCAAGAAUAUCUGAAAUUAUUUCCACUGCAGCUACAGAAAGAACUACUGAGGGAGAGGGAGUUUUCAGCUUCUUGGGGAGUUUCUUGAAGAUCUGGUUUGUGACAAACCAUAUUAAGGCCAGUUACAACCGUCUCUUCCUGUGAAGAUGAUCUCCUGUUGUCGUCAUGUGUACUCAGCUCCCAGACAGCAGCACCUCAAGCCAAGAUAGCUAUUGCUCUGUUUUUGCAACACUGAUCGCAGGGGUUCACACUGUGCAGUGCAAAGAUGCUGGGUGUCUGCAAAAGCACCCGCACGCCCUGAGGAAACCAACAUCAUGGCAAUGACCUGAUCUUGGCUGAUGUCAGCUGAGAACAACCGAGGUACCAAAACUGUUUAAACAUUGUUU